rnacentral:rRNA from 1 species
GACGAACGCUGGCGGCGUGCUUAACACAUGCAAGUCGAACGAUGAAGCCCAGCUUGCUGGGUGGAUUUGUGGCGAACGGGUGAGUAACACGUGGGCAACCUGCCCCAAACUCUGGGAUAACUCCUCGAAAGAGGUGCUAAUACCGGAUACGAACUAGACAGACAUCUGUACUAGUUGGAAAGUUUUUCGGUUUGGGAUGGGCCCGCGGGCUAUCAGCUUGGUGAGGAGGUAACGGCUCACCAAGGCUACGACGGGUAACCGGCCUGAGAGGGCGACCGGUCACACUGGGACUGAGACACGGCCCAGACUCCUACGGGAGGCAGCAGUGGGGAAUAUUGCGCAAUGGGCGAAAGCCUGACGCAGCGACGCCGCGUGAGGGAUGAAGGUCUUCGGAUCGUAAACCUCUUUCAGUAGGGACGAAGCGAAAGUGACGGUACCUAAAGAAGAAGCACCGGCUAACUACGUGCCAGCCGCCGCAGUAA